GAUGAACGCUGGCGGCGUGCCUAAUACAUGCAAGUCGAGCGAACAGACGAGGAGCUUGCUCCUUUGACGUUAGCGGCGGACGGGUGAGUAACACGUAGGUAACCUACCUAUAAGACUGGGAUAACUUCGGGAAACCGGAGCUAAUACCGGAUAAUAUAUCGAACCGCAUGGUUCGAUAGUGAAAGAUGGCUUUGCUAUCACUUAUAGAUGGACCUGCGCCGCAUUAGCUAGUUGGUAAGGUAACGGCUUACCAAGGCAACGAUACGUAGCCGACCUGAGAGGGUGAUCGGCCACACUGGAACUGAGACACGGUCCAGACUCCUACGGGAGGCAGCAGUAGGGAAUCUUCCGCAAAGGGCGAAAGCCUGACGGAGCAACGCCGCGUGAGUGAUGAAGGUCUUCGGAUCGUAAAACUCUGUUAUUAGGGAAGAACAAACGUGUAAGUAACUGUGCACGUCUUGACGGUACCUAAUCAGAAAGCCACGGCUAACUACGUG
rnacentral:rRNA from 1 species